UCUCUAAUUGAAAUCAGUAGUGUAGAGCGGGUAAGAUCAUCUUUUUAAACGUUAGAAAUGCUAUUUGCUAAUUAGGGAUGGCUCAUGAAUGUAUUUUUUACCAUUGUAAAUAUCUCGUAUGAAUAUUAUCGAUAAUCAGUCUAAUUUAAUAAAAUUAACAGCAUUAUUUUCAUGUUUUUUCAUAUUAUCUACGUUACAUUUGUUCUACUCGGCGUAUGGUUUAGUCUACAGUAAAAUGGUAGUCUCCACCAGUUACCAUAAAUACAUCAGUAAGAGCGUGUAGAUUUCAAAAAUUAAAUUAGAAAAAGAAAAUAAGUUUUUAUAGCGAGCACGCUGCCUAGGUACUCUUCGUGCAUGAAGAGUUCUACAUCGCUCAAUAAAAACAAAUUGAAUUACCGUUGCAAAAGACUUCUAUUAUAGUUGUUUUAAAACAGAAAAAUUGAAUUAAGAACCCAACCAAUAUAUUGAGGUACUAUUUUCUAAUGAGUUAGCCGUGAAGUACUCAUGGAAAAGCAAACAUAGAUUAAAUAAGCUGAAUAUUUUCAAAUUUAUAAUAAGUAAAUGUAUUUUUGUUUCAAUUAAAAUAAAUUGGUGUUAAACAUAAAUACUGAAUUCUGUGGUACAAUUAAAAAUAAAAUUGACUUUUUUGAAACUCUAAAGUUCAUUUUAAUUACUUAACAUAUAAAGUUAUGAAGUAAUAAAUGACAACUUAUUAUGUUAAAUAGAAGCAAUUUUCAAUCGGCUAUUUUUCAAAAAAUAACCCGCAGCGUAAAACAUUUUUAAUAUGCGUCACUUAAAAAUGUAAUUUAAAUUUACACUUUUUCAAUUACAAAAACACCUACUGUUAUUUUAAGUUUUUUGUUAUAAAAAUUUAAUUAAACUAAUCUUAUGAACUGAAUGUUUUUUUUAUUUAAUGUUAUUAUAAACUAAAUCCACUCAUAUUUCAAAUGCUAAUACAUUUUAAAAUGUUGUGCAUUAAGAAAAAAUAUUAAAACCUUAUCGUCCCGCUAUUAAAAUAAUAAACACACAACACGAAUACUUUUGCCUUUACUUUUCUUAUUUGUGUAAUUUCGAUCAUUCCGCUAAUUUUGAUUUUGCUAUUUUUUUAUUCUACUGAAUAUCAUCUUACUACUAGUGAUAUAUUUUAACCAACACCCUGUACAUGGAUUUAAACCAAAACUUAAUGAACAUAACUUAUUAUACUUUAGAAAAUUCUUUAUGAUGCAAAAGAGGAAUCAGAUCCAGUUCUAUAGAAUAUUUUAAAUUGUUUGCAUUUUUAAAAUUUUUUUUUUUAUUAAAUCAUAAUUAUUUAUGUUUAUAAUUAUUGAAGUAAUAUAAUAUUUUAUAUUAUAACACAUUUUUAUAAAAUGGAGACAAUCAUGUCAG